CUCCAUUAGAACCUUGAAAGGGAACUGUGGAUCAGCAGCCACUCUAGAUCGCCAGCCGUUCAGGAAGAGACCAAGAAUUCCAAAUCCCGAGGAUGACGAAUUCUCGAAAUCGGAAUCACCACUCCACCCUCCACUUUCGCCGCCGCCGCCACCACCUCCACCAAAUCCGCGACCUAUUCCGCUGCUGCCAUUGCCUCCACCAUGCAAAAACUCAGGCUUAUAAAGUUUGGGGCGAGGAAGAAGGCGUAGGGAAUGAUUAUGAGGAUCAGAAAAUGGGAAAGAAGCAGCAGGGCAAUUGAGAUUAGAGAUGCGAGAAUUCUGGGAAGAAGAACUUGAAUAUUGUCUAGCAAAAACAGAGCAUCGGAGUUGGGCCGCAGCUGCCAUUUUUCCAAUCGAAAGUGAUAAAAAGAAACCCGAAAAAAAAAUCACUAACAACAAUUCACAGAUCUAAAUUGAAAAGAAAUACACCACCCAGAUUGAAAAGAGAGGGAGGAUAGUGAUGAGUGAAAAUGGAGAAAGUAGGUGAGAGAUCAAGUUGGUCCUUGAUCGGCCACUUUAAUAAGCAAAACAAUCAAAAUCUGGAAGAAAUCUUAAUCAGGGAAUGGAGAAAUAGGAAUAAAAGGGUAACUGGGUAGCUGCCAUAAAAGGGAAUAGACUAGCAGGAGAAUGAAAGCUAUCGCUGUCUCGCUGAGAGUUGUGCAGAUGAU
rnacentral:misc_RNA from 1 species